rnacentral:lncRNA from 1 species
ACAAAUAACCUUUCAAUUUAAAAAAAGAAACAGAACCCUUCAUUCUCUUUGGGUUCAUUAAGCAGCCGCCGAAACCACCAUCAAUUUGAUGGCUGACGGUGCACAAAUGGAGAUCAAAUCUUGCUGAGGAAGGCCUCGCCUACGAAGAUCUGGUAAGAGUACUCUUUUCCCUUUUUUUAAAAAAAAAAACUUUAAAAUCUUGUACUAUUCUGUCAAAAGCAAGGCGAAAUCCGACGAAAAAUAAGAGAAAACAACCCUAGCCCGAAUCACCAUUUUCCUGAGACAUGAGGGCUUUCAUCGGUGUUGUUUCAAGCAUCCUUUUCGUUUUCUAUGCUAAAAUAAUACGAGCAAAUCGACAGAAAAAAGGGAAAAUUUUGAAGUCACCUUUAGAUAACUUUCUUGAUUUCUUUUCUACUAUUUAGUAUAUGUAUUGUAGUGUGCGUAAAAAAAAAGGGAGAAGAUACAUUGAUAUUUCUUGGCUUUUUAUAGCCACAACAAAAAAAGAAAAAAUACAAGGUUUCUGCUUGUUUUUUGCUCUUGCAGUUGUGUCCGUCUUUUGCUUGUCUUCUUUUGCAGGUACGGAGGCAACGUGGCGGGGGUAGCUGGCGCGUACGGAGGCUGCUGGUGGCGCAACUGCUGCUAGGGCUAGGGUUUGCUGAAAUUUGGUUUAGAUAUUGGGCCUAUCGGGCCAUCAGGGUCAUGGGUUAGAGAUGGGGUUGAUUAGUUUUGUUUGGGUUUAUAAAUGGGCUAUUGGGUAUGAUAUGUAAUAGACUGAUAAUUGGACCAUUCAAUUAAUUUAUAUUUGGUUUAUUUUUAUUUAUUUUUUAUUUUGGUAGACCUGGGCAAAUUGGCCUGCUUACAAGUUUAAUUCGACUGAGUUAUAACAUUUGAAAGUCCGUAAGAACUGUAUGAAAUAUCUGAAAUUUUUGAUAUAUGAAUUGUUUAUGAGAUAACGUUAUAAUAGUAAGAACUGUAUGAAAUAUCUGAAAUUUUUGAUAUAUGAAUUGUUUAUGAGACAACUUUAUAAUAGUGAUAUUCGGGCUUUGAGCCUAGCAAGCCUUGUGCUGGUGAAUUAAAUGGGGCUUAUGCCUAGCAGGCUUAUUGCCGGUGUAUAAAAUUAGAUUUUGAGUCUAGCAAGCCUUGUGUCGGUGUGAAAUACAGGCUUAGGCCUAACAGGCUUUAUGCCUGUGAAUUUUUAUAAGUUUAUGCCUAAAACAUUUUAUGCUGAUGUGGUAAUUAAAUACGUUAAACGAGCUAAAUGAUCAGGUACGAGUUAGAUUGUUGUUUACUUAAGAUAAGGUAAAUAAGUAACUUGAUAUUUGUUACUAAUUAUGUGUGAUACAAAUGGAGAUUACAUGUGAAUUUAGUAUGUGUAUUCGGUCUUGUAAAUAAAUG